rnacentral:rRNA from 1 species
AAUGAACGCUGGCGGCGUGCCUAAUACAUGCAAGUCGAGCGAACCACUUCGGUGGUGAGCGGCGAACGGGUGAGUAACACGUAGGUGAUCUGCCCAUCAGGCGGGGACAACGAUUGGAAACGAUCGCUAAUACCGGAUAGGACGAAAGUUUAAAGGUGCUUCUGGCACCGCUGAUGGAUGAGCCUGCGGCGCAUUAGCUAGUUGGUAGGGUAAAGGCCUACCAAGGCGACGAUGCGUAGCCGACCUGAGAGGGUGAACGGCCACACUGGGACUGAGCCACGGCCAAGACUCCUACGGGGGGCAGCAGUAGGGAAUCUUCGGCAAUGGGCGAAAGCCUGACCGAGCAACGCCGCGUGAAUGAUGAAGGCCUUCGGGUUGUAAAAUUCUGUUAUAAGGGAAGAGCGACUUUAGUAGGAAAUGGCUAGAGUGUGACGGUACCUUAUGAGAAAGCCACGGCUAACUACGUGCCAGCCGCCGCGGUAAGAC